UUAAGGGAGGAAGUACUACUCCCUUUUUUUUAGAGUGUGGUACAUGCUUGUUCUUAGUUGCUGGAGCGAUUUCUGUGGUUAACUCCGAUAACGAACGAGACUCUAGCCUAUUAAAUAGGUGCGUGGUUCUCUGCACCUUGCACCCUUCUCAGACGGACAAGCGGCUCCUAGCCGCACGAAACAGAGCAAUAACAGGACUGUGAUGCCUUUAGAU
rnacentral:rRNA from 1 species